GUGCUUGCUUCAGCAGCACAUACACUAAAAUUGGAAUGAUACAGAAAUUAGCAUGGUUCUUUUGCAAGGAUGACACACAAAUUUGUAAAGUGUUCUAUAUUUUU